UCUCUGCAUCUUGAGAGGGAAGAAGGAAGGAUUAUUUUCUGAAGAGGCGUUUUCUUUGUUUUUAACCUAUAUCCCCAGGCCCCGUCAUCAGAGACCUUUAGCUGUCUGUGCUGGACUCCUCUGCUCCUGUGACAAGGAACAAGGACAGGCUGUUGAAAUGUCAGAUGGUAAAAACAACCAAGAGUUCCAGAUGGGGCAGUCAGAAGAGAAACAUGCCGAAGAUGGUAAUGGGAAAGUUCUGGAUUCUCUCAGCUGGGAGUCCCAUGUCCUCACCUGUGACUUCCCAAACCAAUCACUGUGCAAGCCUUACGCAAAGCAGUAUGCCUUGAGGAAGUUCUUCAUAACCAGGAAAACCGACCCAUUAGCCCAGCACGCGGAGCUCCCCCUCACUGCAGCGGCCAGACAGCUUUUUGGAGGCCUGGCAGACGCAACCUGGGCCAGCACCCUCACUUCAGCACGUGUGGCCAUCAUCCACUGCUUGGUGCAGCAUGUCACGUCUGUGUCUGCAGCGCGUUGUGGUGAGCUCCCUCCGUCACUGACAGCACCUUUCAGCCUUGACAAAACACUUGACAAAACAUCUGCAAGCCCUCCCUCCGCAGAGGAGCACGAGCACUGUGUGCUUCUGCUGCUCUCUGCUCUCUACCUGCCUCAUUCCUGCACCAUCUC
rnacentral:lncRNA from 1 species